rnacentral:rRNA from 1 species
CCCUUAGAUGUUCUGGGCCGCACGCGCGCUACACUGACUGGUGCAACAAGUGUCGCUCCUUGGCCGAUAGGCCUGGGCAAUCUUUGAACGCCAGUCGUGAUGGGGAUAGAUUCUUGCAAUUUUUGAUCUUCAACGAGGAAUUCCUAGUAAACGCGAGUCAUCAACUCGCAUUGAUUACGUCCCUGCCCUUUGUACACACCGCCCGUCGCACCUACCGAUUGAAUGGUCCGGUGAACCCUCCGGAUCGGCCCGCGCCAACGCAAGUUGAGCAAAGGCCGAGAAGUUGGGUAAACCUUACCACUUAGAGGAAGGUGAAGUCGUAACA